rnacentral:rRNA from 1 species
UACGGAGGGAGCUAGCGUUGUUCGGAAUUACUGGGCGUAAAGCGCACGUAGGCGGCUUUGUGAGUUAGAGGUGAAAAGCCCCGGGGCUCAACUCCGGAACUGCCUUUGAGACUGCAUCGCUUGAAUCCAGGAGAGGUGAGUGGAAUUCCGAGUGUAGAGGUGAAAUUCGUAGAUAUUCGGAAGAACACCAGUGGCGAAGGCGGCUCACUGGACUGGUAUUGACGCUCAGGCGCGAAAGCGUGGGGAGCAACAGG